rnacentral:lncRNA from 1 species
GAGGCCCUGCGGGAGCCGACUGGGAAGGAUCCGCACGUUGCUGCCUUUCAGCCUCCAAACCUUCGCUCUGGCCGUUCUCUCCACCUGGAAUACCCUUCCGAGCCUCUCUUCACCUCCAUGUCAUUAACUCGCAUACAUCCUUUCAGAUAUUUCCUGAGGGCUUGUGAUUUGCCAGAUCCUGUACCAGGUGCUGGAACUUGGUGAUAGACAAUCCACAGUCUCUGCUCUGAAGACAUCCAUGCAGGUACUAACAGGUUACAUACACGGGCGGUGCAGCGGAGAGCGCGGCGGCGAAGUUUCAGGCCCCUGCCCAGCCCCACUCGCCGCAGCCAGGUAGCCCCUCCACCCUUCCUGCCCGGAAGUCCUGCGCGCUCCACCCAAGGACAGGUGGGUUAGCCAGGGCACGCCCACUUCCGUCUCAUUAGCCUAUCGAAUACGUUAUGCAAAUUGACACACGACCCCGCGCCUCACGACAACCAAUGGUUGCGGAGGCGCCGCAGGUCGCCCAGGUUCCCGUUCUCAGGAUGCUCUGGGAGCUCUGCCACGUUUCUGCUGUGGCAGGAAGAACUGAAAUUCCAGAAGCCGGAGAAACAAGCCGCCGUCAAGACUGCUGAAGCGAGGCCUACGGCCCUGUAAUCACACAAGCUCAGGCUUCACGGAAGCUGGAGGCCAUGUCGCCUGAUCCCCGGGCUGACCCCUUCCCUCCCUCCGCGUAGUUCCUGCCAAGCUCCAGGUGCCCGGUGCCCACGUAGUCUCGGUGAACGCAGAGAAAUCACUGCAGAUGUAGCCACGCUUCUCUGAGUUAAGGACUCGGCGUCCGCAGGAGAGCCAAGGCCUCGCUGCUGGGGGUCAGAGCCUCUCAGAGAACAAGAGGCAAGUCCAAGUUCUGCCUCCACCACUUGUUAGCUAUGCGACUUUGGGCAAUCCGCGUCACCUUUCCAAGCCUCAUUUUCCUCAUCUGGAAAAUAGGAAUAAUAACACUGCCCUCCCAGCUACGAUAUGAGGACCAAUGGCUAGUCAAAUGGAAAACACGAGGGUCUUUGCAAGCCAUUGUGCUUGGUGGUUAAGAGUAUCACUUCGGUUAGACAGAUUUGAAUUCAAAUCCUGCUUUUCCCAGUUACUUGUGUUCCAACCUUAAGCAAAUCACUUACUUUAUCUUCUGAUUCUCACUUUCUUCAACUGUAAAGAAUUCCAUGGGCUGUUGUUAGGAUUAAAUGAGUUAAGGUUUAUUGAUUGAGACAGGAUCUCUGUCACCCAAGCUGGAGUGCAGUGGCACAAACACAGCUGACUGCAGCCUCAACCUCCCAAGCUCAAGCGAUCCUCCUGCCUCAGCCUCCCAAGUAGCUGGAACUACAGGCAUGCACCACCACACCUGGCUAAUUUUUUUCUUAUUUUUGUAGAAAUUGAGUCUUACUAGCUGGGCGCAGUGGCUCACACCUGUAAUCCCAGCACUUUGGGAGGCCGAGGCGGGCAGAUCACGAGGUCAGGAGAUUGAGACUAUCCCGACUAACACAGUGAAACCCCGUCUCUACUAAAAAUAUAAAAAAAAGAAAAAAAAAUUAGCCGGGUGUGGUGGUGGGCAACUGUAGUCCCAGCUACUGGGGAGGUUGAGGCAGGAGAAAGGCGUGAACCCGGGAGGCGGAGCUUGCAGUGAGCCAAGAUCGCACCACUACACUCCAGCCUGGGAGACAGAGCGAGACUCCGUCUCAAAAAAAAAAACAAAACAAAAAACAAAGAGAAAUUGGGUUCUUACUGUGUUGCCCAUGCUGGUCUUGAACUCCUGGGUUGAAGCAAUCCUCCCACCUGAGCCCCACAAAGUACUGGGAUUACAAGUGUGAGCCACUGUGCCCAGCCUGAGUUAAGGUUUUCAAAGCACUUGGCACAAAGCCAGGCCACGUGUGGUAGCAGAACCAUGGCACCUCCUGGAAGCUGGUUUCAUCUCAUCAGCUGUCUUCUGGAUACGAUAUUGUUUGCCCUGCCUGCCACAUAGGAUUGUCAUGAGUUGUAAAUGACUUAUGACACGUUUAUAAACAGAAAAACAUUACACCAAUGUUAGUUAGUGGUAUGGUGAGGCAGCCAGCACACUGGAAAAAGCAUGACCUUGGCCCUGGCUGGGCCUUUUAUUUACUGUGUGACCUUGGACGGAUGAUUUCACCUGCUGAAUUGGUAUUAUGAGAAUAUAUUCUUUUUUACCUAGCCUGGGCAACAAAGCAAGACCUUGUCUCUACCAAAAAAUUUUUUAAAAAUUAGCUGGGCAUGGUGGCAUGCACCUGUAGUCCCAGCUACUUGGGAGGCUGAGGUGGGAGGAUCGCUUGAGCCUGGGAGUUGGAGGCUGCAGUGAGCUAUAAUCACACCCCUGCACACCAGUCUGAGUGAGAGUGAGACCUUGUCUCAAAAUACAUAUAUAUAUACACACACGCACACACACAUCACAUAUAUACAUACAUAUAUAUAUUCUUUUUAGAGAUAUAGAAUUUAAAUUGAAAUGUAAUACAUUAUUUAAAACAUAAUAAGUAAUAAAAAGGCUGGGCACAGUGGCUCACACCUGUAAUCCCAGCACUUUGGGAGGCCGAGGUGGGCGGAUCACAAGGUCAGAAGAUCGAGACCAUCUUGGCCAACAGGGUGAAACCCCGUCUCUACUAAAAAUACAAAAAUUAGUCGGGCAUGGUGGUGUGUACCUGUAGUCCCAACUACUCGGGAGGCUGAGGCAGGGGAAUCGCUUGAACCCGGGAAGUGGAGGUUGCAGUGAGUUGAGAUCGUGCCACCACACUCCAGCCUGGCGACAGAGGAAGACUCCAUCUCAAAAAAAAAAGUAAUAAAAAUAUAUAAUCUGAAAUUAUUUUUCAGCCGGGCAUGGUGGCUUAUGCCUGUAAUCCCAGCACUUUGGGAGGCCGAGGCGAGCGGAUCACGAGGUCAGGAGUUCGAGACCAGCCUAACCAACAUGGUGAAACCCCGUCUCUACUAAAAAUACAAAAAUUAGCUGGGCGUGGUGGUGUGCGCCUGUAAUCUCAGCUACUUGGAAGGCCGAGGCGGGAGCAUUGCUUGAACCCGGGAGGCGGAGGUUGUGGUGAGCUGAGAUCGUGCCAUUGCACUCCAGCCUGGGCAAUAAGAGCGAAACUCUGUCUCAAAAGAAAAAAAAAAAAAAGAAAUUAUUUUUCAACUUCAUAGGUCAAGGCCUCCUCCCCUGGGGUAAGGAGAAGCCCAAAUGCAAAGUUUACCCUGUUGUCUACAUGCUAGAAUUUACCAUGGAAAACCAGAGUCAUGGUUUUUCCUAAGAUCAAUGGGGAAAAUGUCCAAACCCUAACAAGGGUCACCUCUGAAUGGAGUGGCCACUCAUUGCUGUCAGCAUUCUCAAAGCCGCUCUGAAGUCAUGGUCUAUGGAGGGAAAUGACCUCGGUUUGGAAGCCCUCGGGCUGGAGUUCCCUCAGCAUCAGAGGUAUCCAGGGACGCUGGGUGAGUCACUCCUCCCCAGUGGACUUGCCCUUCAACCUUGAUGAGGACGAACACCUCAUUAAGGAGCAAUAGCUCUCCCCUCACCUUAAUGCCUUACAUGGGGUUGGCGUAGCCCCGGGCCAUCCUGCCAAUCCACUGUGAGACUUCUCCAGCUGUCCUAGGAUGCCUCUGGCCUUGGACAGCCUUCCUGUUCUUCCUCCUCUGGGGCCCACAGUCUGAUCCUGACCCCCACCAUUCUUCAUUGCAGACUCUCAUCCAGCUGGAGAAAGGAGGGGUGGGAGAAUGCCAAGGCCCAAGCCCACUUUCUCUGCUGUGCCCACCAUCACGUCUUCGCUGCGUGUGGCAAGUGCCCCUGCAGUACAGGGCUGCUGUACAAAUCAUUCAUCAAGGCAGGCGAGAGAGAGACUGACAUCUGGGGUAUAGGCUUUUAACUACCUCAUCCUGGAAGUGACAUAUGUCACUUUCACUGCCAUAUCAUUAGCCAGACCUAGCCACAGGCCCACCCAUGAAAGGAUCUACAGGGGCCAGGCACAGUGCCUCAUGCCUGUAAUGCCAGCACUCUUGGAGGCAGAGGCUGGUGGAUCACCUGAGGUCAGGAGUUCAAAACCAGCCUGGCCAACAUGGCAAAAAACCAUCUCUACUAAAUAUACAAAAAUCAGCCGGGGUGGUUGCAGGCGCCUGUAGUCCCAGCUACUUGGGAGGCUGAGGCAGGAGAAUCGCUUGAACCCGGGAGGCAGAGGUUGCAGUGAGCCGAGAUCUCGCCAUUCCACUCCAGCCUGGUGACAGAGUGAGACUCUGUCUCAAAAAAAAAAAAAAAAAAAAAGCUGAGCGCAGUGGCUCACGCCUGUAAUCCCAGCACUUGGGGAGGCCGAGGCAGGCGGAUCACGAGGUCAGGAGAUCGAGACUAUCCUGGCUAACACAGUGAAACCCCAUCUCUACUAAAAAUACAAAAAAUUAGCCGGGUAUGGUGGCGGGCACCUGUAGUCCCAGCUACUACUUGGGAGGCUGAGGCAGGAGAAUGGCAUGAACCUGGGAGGCGGAGCUUGCAGUGAGCCAAGAUCAUGCCACUGCACUCCAGCCUGGGCGACAGAGCAAGACUCCUCCUCAAAAAAAGAAAAAAAAGAAAGGAUACAGGGCAGGGCUGGGCAUUUCGUGAGCACUGUGGUCUGCUUGUCUCAAUUGAGAUCUUUUUUUUUUUUUCGAGAUGGAGUUUCGCUCUGUCGCCCAGGCUGGAGUGCAGUGACUUGAUCUCAGCUCACUGCAACCUCCACCUCCUUAGUUAAGUGAUCCUCUUGUCUCAGCCUCCUAAGUAGCUGGGAUUACAGGCAAGUACCACCAUGCCCGGUGAAUUUUUUUUAUUUUUAAUAGAGACAGGGUUUUGCCAUGAUAGCCAUGGUUGGUCUCAAACUUGUGACCUCAAGUGAUCCACCUGCCUCGGCCUCCCAAAGUGCUGGGAUUACAGGCCACUGCACCCGGCCAACAGUCGGGAUCUUUCUGCUCAGCCUUUCAGCCAACAUUGAUUGACUCCAGAAUUAGAGGCCAUUAGAGUGGGAAGGACCUUGGGAACCAUCUCAGCCAGUGAACUCCAAAAUUAAAAUCACAUCAGGCUGGGCACUGUGGCUUAUGCCUGUAAUGCCAGCACUUUGGGAGGCCGAGGU